AUGUUAACGACGUCCAUUCAAUCUGACUGUAGCCUACAUGGGUUUAAUUUGACUCAAUGGAGGAUGAGUUCCUCUGGGGAUACACACGUUGAUCAUCAUCUUGCUGUUCCUGCUCCUUUCCUGUCGUCUUAUAGCAAACUCUUGUGCACCCUCUGGUGCUUGCUAGUCUCCAAAACUUAUUUGUGUUGCCUGCUUUGCAGAUUGUCUUCCUUGUCUCUGUGGUUGCUCAUUAUUCAGAGACAGGCGGAUCUCAGGUCAUCUGCAGCUGCAGCAACGGAGAAGCAGGAAAGAUGGCGAUCAUCCAUUAGACCGGACGCACGCAUGAAAUACAGGACAACUUUCAGGAAGAAGAUCGCUUCUCCACCAGAAGAAGACAUACCUCGUCUGUCCUUACAGAAUGCUGACACCACAAUUUGAAGCAUCUGGAAGUUUUUUGUUUUAUGUUGGUGACGUCGGAUCCGGGUGCUGCUGCCGGAGGAGCCGGGGGUGCCUCAGCUGGCUCUUCAGGCUCCCAUGCCUCUGCCGGCUCAUCAGGCUCCCAUCCCAAGUCAUGACUCAGCCGGCUCGUCAGGCUCCCACGGUUCCGCCGGCUCGUCAGGCUCCCACGCCUCAGCCGGCUCGUCGGGCUUCCACGCCUCAGCUGGCCCAGGUGGGACACCGGGUGGCGCCCCUAGAGGGGGGGGGGGGUACUGUCAUGCCUGCUCCCGUUCCCCCUCCCUGGCGCUAGAGGGCGCAAGGUGGCCAGUCAUUAUGCACACUUGUCACCAUCAUUAUGCGCAUCUCCGCAAUAUUGGACUCACCUGGACUCCAUUACUUUGUUGAUUGCCCCUCUAUAUCUGUCUGCUCCUCAGUUUGUUCCCCGUGUCAGCAUUGUUUUCCCCUGUCCAGACGCUGUCCUUGUUUUAUUAUUUUUUAUUGCCUUUAAAUUGUUUAACUUGGGUCAAACGUUUUGGGUAGCCUUACACAAGCUUCCCACAAUAAGUUGGGUGAAUUUCACAGAGCUGACAGAGCUGGUGUACCUGAGUCAGGUUUGUAGGUUGCCUUGCACGCACACACUUUUUCAAUUCAGCCCACACAUUUUCUAUGGGAUUGAGGUCAGGGCUUUGUGAUGUCCACUCCAAUACCUUGACCUUUUUGUCCUGGAGUCAUUUUGCCAUAACUUUGAAAGUAUGCUUGGAGAAAUUGUCCAUUUGGAAGACCCAUUUGCGUCCACGCUUUAACUUCCUGACUGAUGUCUUGAGAUGUUGCUUCAAUAUAUCCACAUAAUUUCCCAUCCUCAUGAUGCCAUCUAUUUUGUGACGUGCACCAAUCCCGCCCGCAGGAAAGCACCACCACAACAUGAUGCUGCCACCCCGUGCUUCAUGGUUGGGAUGGUGUUCUUCACCUUGCAAGCUUCCCCCUUUUUCCUCUAAACAUAACGAUGCACAAAGUAGAUGUCCUAACCAACUUGCCAAAGCUAUAGUUUGUUGACAAGAAAUGUGUGGAGUGGUUGAAAAUGAGUUUUAAUAACUCCAACCUAAGUGUAUGUAAACUUCUGACUUCAACUGUAUGUACAGUGCAUUCAGAAAGUAUUCACACCUCUUCACUUUUUCCACAUUUUGUUGUGUUACAGCCUGAAUUUAAAAUGGAUUACAAUUUUUGUCACUGGCCUAUACACAAUAAUAAUGUCAAAGCGGAAUGAUGUUUUUAGACAUUUUUCUGUGUUAAGUCAGUAAGUAUUUGACCCUUUUGUUUUGGCAAGCCUAAAUAAGUUCAGGAGUUAACAUUUUCUUAACAAGUCACAUAAUAGUUGCAGGAACUGAUUGUUGAAUGAUUACCUCAUCUCUAUUCCCCACACAUACACUUUUUGUAAGAGCAGACAUUGAAUAUCCCUUUGAGCUUGGUAAAGUUAUUAAUUACACUUUGGAUGGUGUAGCAAUACCACAGUCACUGCAAAGAUACAGGCAUCCGUCCUAACUCAGUUGCUGGAGAGGAAGGAAACCUCUCAUGGAUUUGAACAUGAGGCCAAUGGUGACUUUAAAACAGAGUUUAAUGGCUGUGAUAGGAGAAAACUGAGGAUGGAUCAACAACAUUGUACUUACUUCACAAUACUAACCUAAUUGACAGAGUGAAAGGAAGGAAGCCUGUUAAGAAUAAAAAUAUUCCAAACAUGCAUCCUGUUUGCAACAAGGCACUAACUUAAUACUGCAAAGAAUGUGGCAAAGCAAUUAACUUUCUGUCUUGAAUACAAAGUGUUAUGUUUGGAAAAAUCCAAUACAACACGUUACUGAAUACCACUCUCCAUAUAUUCAAACCCAGUGGUGGCUGCAUCAUGUUAUGGGUAUGCUUCUAAUCGUUAAGGACUGGGGAGUUUUUCAGGAUAAAAAAGAAAUGGAGCUAAACGCAGGCAAAAUCCUAGAAAACUUGGUUCAGUCUGCUUUCCACCAGACACUGGGAUAUGUAUUCGCCUUUCAGCAUGACAAUAACCGAAAACACAAGGCCAAAUCUACACUGGAGGAGCAUACAAAGAAGACAUGAAAUGUUCCUUAAUGGCCGAGUUACAGUUUUGACUUAAAUCUACUUGAAUGUCUAUGACGAGACCUGAGAAUGGUUGUCUAGCGAUAAUCUUACAACCAAUUUGACAGAGCUUGAAUUUUUUAAAAAAGAAUAAUGGGCAAAUUUUGCACAAUCCAGGUGUGGAAAGCUCUUAGAGACAUACCCAGAAAGACUGACCGCUGUAAUUGCUGGCAAAGGUGUUUCUACAAAGUCUUGACUCAGGGGUGUGAAUACUUAUGUAAAUGAGAUAUGUCUGUAUUUCAUUUUCAACAUUUUUUUAUUUCAUCCAUUUUGAAUUCAGCCUGUAACACAACAAAAUGUGGAAUAAAUCAAGGGGUAUGAAUACUUCCUGAAGGCACUGUGUAUAUAUUUAUUUGCAAUUCUUAUGAUAUGUUACAAGUCACAUUCGUACAAUAUGUUACAAAUUUGUUGUGCUUAAGAUCCCAGACUCCAUCUUUAACUACUGAUGUGAUCCACUACGAGCAGAUUGAAAAGUUCAACUAGACUACAGAAAGGUUCUAAUCUACACAACCAACCCCAACUGUUGGCUAAUUAGACAUAUGUGUUGUAUACAGUGCAUGUAGCUGAAAUAUCACUUUGAACUAGAGAGAGUUAGUUAUUUUGGUUGCUUGCAUAACCUUUGUGUGCAUAGUGAGGGCACCAGUCACAAUUUAGAUGAAAAUAAUUCCCAAAGCAUGCAUUAGGACAUUCUUUGUAGAUCCUUUUUAGGUAACAGGCCUUCCUAUGAACUUUGAAGGAGACCUGUAUAGCUACAACCCAUACCUCUCUGAUUCAGAGGGGUUAAAUGCAGAAGACACAUUUCAGUUGAAUGCGUUCAGUUGUACAAAUGACAAGGUAUCCAUCCCCCUUUCCCUUUACUAGACCUGGAUCAAAUACUAACAAAUAUUUGAGGUGCGCUUGAUUUAACUUGUCCGCUAUAAUGGAACCAAUGGAAUAAUG
rnacentral:lncRNA from 1 species